rnacentral:rRNA from 1 species
GGGUGAGUAACACGUGAGUAACCUGCCCCAGGCUUUGGGAUAACCCCGGGAAACCGGGGCUAAUACCGGAUAUGACCAUCUGUCGCAUGGUGGGUGGUGGAAAGAUUUUUUGGCUUGGGAUGGGCUCGCGGCCUAUCAGCUUGUUGGUGGGGUGAUGGCCUACCAAGGCGGCGACGGGUAGCCGGCCUGAGAGGGCGACCGGCCACACUGGGACUGAGACACGGCCCAGACUCCUACGGGAGGCAGCAGUGGGGAAUCUUGCACAAUGGGCGGAAGCCUGAUGCAGCGACGCCGCGUGAGGGAUGACGGCCUUCGGGUUGUAAACCUCUUUCAGCAGGGACGAAGCGUUUGUGACGGUACCUGCAGAAGAAGCGCCGGCCAACUACGUGCCAGCAGCCGCGGUAAGACGUAGGGCGCAAGCGUUGUCCGGAUUUAUUGGGCGUAAAGAGCUCGUAGGCGGCUUGUCGCGUCGACUGUGAAAACCCGUGGCUCAACUGCGGGCUUGCAGUCGAUACGGGCAGGCUAGAGUUCGGUAGGGGAGACUGGAAUUCCUGGUGUAGCGGUGAAAUGCGCAGAUAUCAGGAGGAACACCGGUGGCGAAGGCGGGUCUCUGGGCCGAUACUGACGCUGAGGAGC